AUAUUUUUUCGUUGUUCUGAGAGUGAUUUGAUUUGAACAACGUACAAAUAUGAGUGUUCGCUCAGAAAAUUUUGUGUGAAGAAUAACGUAGUUUUUUCAUAGUUAAGGGUCAAACAACGAAUAGAGAGCGAAUCAAGUGCAGUGGAAACGCCACAUUACGAACGUAAAAUUCGAAAUUUGAAAUAAUUCCGGUAAAAAAUUUGGGCAAUGUCAUCAAAAUACUGAAAAAAGGGAGGUGUCGGUAUAUGUGGGUUGAAUGAAGUCGUAGGCCCACAUAGUCAAUUCUCCGUCAUUGGUUGUAUUACCCAUUACGAGCUUUACAUACGAAAUUAGAAAUGAUUGCGGUGAACAAUGUCCCUAUAAUCAUCAAAAUACCGAAUACUGGAAGUUAUCAUCAUGAAUUUUAAAUACGAAAUUUAAAACAAUCCCGAUACACUCGGAUAAUAGAUGAAAAAUGUCAAUUUGAUUUAAUUAUAUCGCACUUUCCUUUCAUCGUUUUUGCCCUUUUCUGAUUCGGACAAUAAAGAAAAAUUGUCAAUCAACAACAUCAAAAACCAAAUCAAAUGGAGAUUUGGCUACUGCAGAAGUCUUAUGAUAAACGUUAAGCCGGUGGGCUGGAAUUUUGAAAAUAAAUUGUGAAAGUUUGAUUUGCAUACAAAUAAAUCAAUUGUGGGAUUUAUUUUGUUUAAUGGAAGUUGGAAUUUUGUUUGAGUUGUAUGAUUUAUUUAAGAGCACUUUCGUUAGAAUUCUAUUGGAAAUUGUAAAUAAACUAUUUCUGGAACCGUAUUAAAAAUGGAUGUUAACAAAAACUAA